rnacentral:rRNA from 1 species
UGGGGAAUAUUGGACAAUGGGGGAAACCCUGAUCCAGCAAUGCCGCGUGAGUGAUGAAGGCCUUAGGGUUGUAAAACUCUUUCGCCCACGACGAUGAUGACGGUAGUGGGAGAAGAAGCCCCGGCUAACUUCGUGCCAGCAGCCGCGGUAAUACGAAGGGGGCUAGCGUUGUUCGGAAUUACUGGGCGUAAAGCGCACGUAGGCGGCGCAGCAAGUUAGAUGUGAAAUGCCUGGGCUUAACCUAGGAACUGCAUUUAAGACUGCUGUGCUAGAGACCGGGAGAGGGUGGCGGAAUUCCCAGUGUAGAGGUGAAAUUCGUAGAUAUUGGGAAGAACACCGGUUGCGAAGGCGGCCACCUGGACCGGCACUGACGCUGAGGUGCGAAAGCGUGGGGAGCAAACAGG